rnacentral:tRNA from 1 species
GCGCCCGUAGCUCAGUGGAUAGAGCGUCUCCCUCCGGAGGAGAAGGCCGUGGGUUCGAAUCCCUCCGGGCGCACCA